rnacentral:misc_RNA from 1 species
AACGCACAUUGCGCCCGCCAGCAUUCUGGCGGGCAUGCCUGUUCGAGCGUCAUUUCAACCCUCAGGCCCUGCCUGGUGUUGGAGGACUGCGCAUGCAGCCUCCCAAAGCAAGCGGCGGCGGCGCCCCAUAACCGAACGCAGUAGUAACCUCUCGUUCUGGGUCUGGGUCGUUGUCCUGCCGGAAAACCCCCUUCUUUUUAAUGGUUGACCUCGAAUCAGGUAGGAAUACCCGCUGAACUUAA